rnacentral:rRNA from 1 species
GGCAAGUCUGGUGCCAGCAGCCGCGGUAAUUCCAGCUCCAAUAGCGUAUAUUAAAGUUGUUGCGGUUAAAAAGCUCGUAGUUGGAUUUCUGGGAGGGUGCCAAUGUCCGCUCGAUUGCGUGUGCAGCGGCGCCCUUCCAUCCUUCUGUUAACGUUUCUUGGUAUUCAUUUACUGGUUUCGGGCUCAGAUAUUUUACCUUGAGAAAAUUAGAGUGUUCCAGGCAGGCUUGCGCCGGAAUACAUUAGCAUGGAAUAAUAGAAUAGGACUUUUGUCUCCUUUGUUGGUUUGAGGGACUGAAGUAAUGAUUAAUAGGGCCAGUCGGGGCAUUAGUAUUCUAUAGUCAGAGGUGAAAUUCUUGGAUUUAUAGAAGACUAACUAAUGCGAAAGCAUUUGCCAAGGAUGUUUUCAUUAAUCAAGAACGAAAGUUA